rnacentral:rRNA from 1 species
CACUCCUACGGGAGGCAGCAGUGGGGAAUAUUGGACAAUGGGCGCAAGCCUGAUCCAGCCAUGCCGCGUGAGUGAUGAAGGCCCUAGGGUUGUAAAGCUCUUUCACCGGUGAAGAUAAUGACGGUAACCGGAGAAGAAGCCCCGGCUAACUUCGUGCCAGCAGCCGCGGUAAUACGAAGGGGGCUAGCGUUGUUCGGAUUUACUGGGCGUAAAGCGCACGUAGGCGGACUAUUAAGUCAGGGGUGAAAUCCCGGGGCUCAACCCCGGAACUGCCUUUGAUACUGGUAGUCGUGAGUUCGAGAGAGGUGAGUGGAAUUCCGAGUGUAGAGGUGAAAUUCGUAGAUAUUCGGAGGAACACCAGUGGCGAAGGCGGCUCACUGGCUCGAUACUGACGCUGAGGUGCGAAAGCGUGGGGAGCAAACAGGAUUAGAUACCCUAGUAGUCCCA